UACAGAGGUCUCAAGCGUUGUUCGGAUUCAUUGGGCGUAAAGGGUGCGUAGGCGGCGCGGUAAGUCGGGUGUGAAAUCUCGGAGCUUAACUCCGAAACUGCAUUCGAUACUGCCGUGCUUGAGGACUGGAGAGGAGACUGGAAUUUACGGUGUAGCGGUGAAAUGCGUAGAUAUCGUAAGGAAGACCAGUGGCGAAGGCGGGUCUCUGGGCCGAUACUGACGCUGAGGAGCGAAAGCGUGGGGGGAGCGAACAGG
rnacentral:rRNA from 1 species